UGAAAAUAAUUGGGUAUGUUUAUUGCCGGAGAGUUUCUGCAAUAUGCUACUGCAGUCCAUAUGCUUAUCAAUUAUGAGGAUUUUUGGCUUUCGGCUCUGGAAAAUAUGAGAAAUAUGGGCAAUUACUCUCUGAAGAAAGGUCUGACUCUAUUGCCCAGGCUGAAGUGCAGCGGCACCAUCUCAGCUCACUGCAACCUCCACCUCCUCAGCUCACGUCAUUUUCCCACCUCAGUCUCCACAGUAGCUGGAACUACAGGCAUACACCACGUGUGUUAGGCUAAUUUUUGUAUUUUUUUUGUAGAGAUGGGGUUCCACCAUGUAGCCCCGGCUGGUCUUGAGCUCAUGAGCUCAAGCGAUUCACCUGCCUCAGCCUCCCAAAGUGCUGGGAUUACAAGUGUGAGCCACCAUUCCUGCCUCUAUACCUCUAAAGGUGUUGAAUAAUUUGAAUGGGAAUUUGAAGGUCCAUGGCUUCCAAACCAGCAGGAGUUAAGGCUUAAUUGCUUGGAAAUACAUUUUCAUGGCUGAUACCAGUAACAGAAAAAUGUCUGUAUGUCAAGAGGCUCUGUACUAAUCAGUUAACCAUAACAUGUGCCACCCCAUACCUUGGGCCAAUGUAACUGUUAACAGCUUGAAGCUAUUAAAAAUGUACCAAUGGAGAACUUUCUUAUACUUUUUUCACUAAUGUGCUUCUUCA
rnacentral:lncRNA from 1 species